rnacentral:tRNA from 1 species
GGUUUUGUAGUCAAAAAUGAUAUUAAAUUGCAAAUUUAAAGGUAAUGUAUUUCAAGGCUU